GAUGAACGCUGGCGGCGUGCCUAAUACAUGCAAGUCGAGCGAACGGACGAGAAGCUUGCUUCUCUGAUGUUAGCGGCGGACGGGUGAGUAACACGUGGAUAACCUACCUAUAAGACUGGGAUAACUUCGGGAAACCGGAGCUAAUACCGGAUAAUAUUUUGAACCGCAUGGUUCAAAGGUGAAAGACGGUCUUGCUGUCACUUAUAGAUGGAUCCGCGCUGCAUUAGCUAGUUGGCAAGGUAACGGCUUACCAAGGCAACGAUGCAUAGCCGACCUGAGAGGGUGAUCGGCCACACUGGAACUGAGACACGGUCCAGACUCCUACGGGAGGCAGCAGUAGGGAAUCUUCCGCAAUGGGCGAAAGCCUGACGGAGCAACGCCGCGUGAGUGAUGAAGGUCUUCGGAUCGUAAAACUCUGUUAUUAGGGAAGAACAUAUGUGUAAGUAACUGUGCACAUCUUGACGGUACCUAAUCAGAAAGCCACGGCUAACUACGUG
rnacentral:rRNA from 1 species